ACUUUUGUCAUUACUUGAAAUAAAGACAUUUUGCUUGUGUGCUUUACUUAGCGUACUAAAAAAAGUUAUAGUAACCUAAAAACCAGAGGAUUAAUUUGGCACUCCAAAUGUUUUUGAAAUACAUUUGACUUAAUGUUCAGUCAGUCCUUGUCAGUCUUAAAAUGUUAACACAGAUCUUCGGGGUCAGGUUAGCCACCAGUGAACCAAAAUGUAAUAAAAUUAAUAUUAUCAUUGCAGAUAUUCACUAGGCCAAUUUGCAGUAAAAUCCAGCAAUAUCUAUUGGAACUUCAUAUUGAGAAACACUCACCUCUUGCUGAGCCUUCUGAAUUUUGCACAUUCCCAUUGUAAACACCCAAGUUUCCACAUUCCUAUACAGAACAUGACUCUACCCCAGAAUUGCUAAUCCAGAGCAGAAACCCCAAAGAAUAUUGUACAACAUAUUUUCUAAAGGGUUGCAACAAAAGUGAAGUUACCCAUCUCAAAGAAAAUAUAUAUUUUUAGAUCCAUCCAUCCAAUGUAGGCUGCAGUCAGAAAAAUGUACGUGUUGAUGCUGGCUUGAGAUUAAAGGAACCUUAACACUAAUCUUAGCACAAAUCUUAGCACUAACACUAACUGAAAAAUAAAUGACAACUAGUGAUGUCCCGAACUGUUCGCUAUUCGGUCCGCCCCCUAUGUCAUCAUUGAGUAAACUUUGACCCCGUACCUCACAGUCAGCAGACACA